UAUUGCUCCUGAUUUUGAAGUCUGAAGUGGCAGGGUUAAAUUCACCGGUUUGGCAGCAUGAGCUAGAUCUGCAAAAUCAAUGGAGACUUCUCCCAGAAAUCCUGAUUUUGAUGAACCCUGGCUUUCCCAUAUGCAAGCUCCUUCUAUGAUUGGCGCUUUUGCUAACCUGACCGUUGGCUUUCCUACAUCUACCGGAACCAGAGAAAUCAUAAGGCUCUUUGCCUUCAACUGUGGCACCUGGAAUUGUUCAAAGACAUCAAGUUUAAUAAUAACCAAGUGUUCUCAGAUUGCAAAUCUUCAAUAAAUCAGAAUAGACUUUUCUGUCAUACCCAUAAAAGCAGCACACUCACACAUAUUCCCCCAUUGUAGAGACAAUAACAUACCUGUGAUGCUGAAAAGUCCAUCUUGAAGACAGCUUUGAUUUUUUUCUCACUUCUCUUGAACAUUUUUUCUCUGGUUUUUAUUAUUAUUCACGAAAUAUGUCUUGACCCCUUCGUUCUUCUUCUAUCUGUAACAGCCAGGAAAUCUCCAGUCUUUGUAUUUGCCUUAGCUGUCUGCAAAUCCGAACAGACCGCUGUUUCAUCAAGUUGAGGCUGCCCUGAUUGAAGGAGCCAGACAGACAACAGCCACCAAACAAAGGACACGGAAUCCAAGCGUGGCUGGAACACGACGCCCCUACAGAUGACUGACACGUGUACACUCCUCGUAGCUCGGAGAGUCGCUGCCUCCAUCCGACGGCUCAGAAACCAUCAACAAUUAAUAAACAAAAUU